CGCACAAGCGGUGGAGCAUGUGGUUUAAUUAGAAGCAACGCGCAGAACCUUACCAGCUCUUGACAUCCUUUAAAACCUUAGGGAGAGAGUUUCUCCUUUUGGAGCAGAAGACACACACAGCGCAUGCAUGUUCUCAUCAGUGUUGUGAGAUUGAGGUUUGUGUCAGUCAAAGAGCGCCCCCAUCUCUUUUCAUUGCUCUCAAUGCAAGGGCCUUUUAAAAGGAAGCCCCGGACAAAACCGGGAGAAAGGGGGGGAUGACGUCAGGUCCUCAUGGCCCUAUCGGGAUGGCUUCCACAGUCAUACAAAUACGGGACCGAGGGUCAGCAAGAUCGCGAGGUCAGCCUAAUUUCCAAAAACCAUCUUAGUUCGGAUCGCAGUCUGCAAUUCGAGUGCAUGAAGUUGGAAUCGCUAGUAAUCGCGGAUCAGAAUGUCGCGGUGAAUACGUUCCCGGGUCUUGUACACACCGCCCGUCACACCAUGGGAGUUUGUUUCACCAAAGGCG
rnacentral:rRNA from 1 species